CAGCCGCCGCGGUAAUACGAGGGGGGCAAGCGUUGUUCGGAAUUAUUGGGCGUAGAGGGUGCGUAGGCGGUUUGACAAGUCUCAUGUGAAAUCUUCGGGCUCAACUCGAAGUCUGCAUGGGAAACUGUCGGGCUUGAGUAUGGAAGAGGUGAGUGGAAAUUCCGGUGUAGCGGUGAAAUGCGUAGAUAUCGGAAGGAACACCUGUGGCGAAAGCGGCUCACUGGACCAUAACUGACGCUGAGGCACGAAAGCUAGGGGAGCAAACAGGAUUAGAUACCCCGGUAGUCCCUGUCUCUUAUAC
rnacentral:rRNA from 1 species